rnacentral:lncRNA from 1 species
CAUCCAUUGGCUGAAAGCUUCGUCUAUUUGAGGCUGACUGAAAGCGUUCCUUUCUUCUGUGUUGCCUGGAAACGGACUGUCUGCCUAGUAACAUCUGAUCGCGUUUCCCAUUGGCCGCCGUUUCCGGAAGCCCGCCCUCCCAUUUCCGGAAGCCUGGCUUAAGGUUGGUCUGCAGGUGGCCUCCAGGUGCAAAGUGGGAAGUGUGAGUCCUCAGUCUUGGGCUAUUCGGCCACGUGCCUGCCGGACAUGGGACGCUGGAGGGUCAGCAGCGUGGAGUCCUGGCCUUUUGCGUCCACGGGUGGGAAAUUGGCCAUUGCCACGGCGGGAACUGGGACUCAGGCUGCCUCCCGGCCGUUUCUCAUCAGUCCACUGGACUCGUGGGCGCUCGCACUGGCGCUGAUGUAGUUUCCUGACCUCUGACCCGUAUUGUCUCCAGAUUAAAGGUACGACAUUUGGAGGCCCCAGCGAGAAACGCCACCGGGCGAGAGCCGGGCCCGCUGUGUGCUCCCCCGGAAGGACAGCCAGCUUGUAGGGGGGAGCGCCACCUGAAAAAAAAUUUCCAGGUCCCCAAAGGGUGACCGUCUUCCGGAGGACAGCGGAUCGACUACCAUGUGGGUGCCCACAAAAAUUCCACCUCUGAGUCCUCAACUGCUGACCCCGGGGUCAGGGAAAGGUGGAUGCCACCGUGUUCACAGACAGUAGCAGCUUCCUCGAGAAGGGACUACGAAAGGCCGGUGCAGCUGUUACCACGGAGACAGAUGUGUUGUGGGCUUAGGCUUUACCAGCAAACACCUCAGCACAAAAGCCUGAAUUGAUCACCCUCACUCAGGCUCUCCGAUGGGGUAAGGAUAUUAACGUUAACACUGACAGCAGGUAUGCCUUUGCUACUGUGCAUGUACGUGGAGCCAUCUACCAGGAGCGUGGGCUACUCACCUCAGCAGGUGGCUGUAAUCCACUGUAAAGGACAUCAAAAGGAAAACACGGCCGUUGCCCGUGGUAACCAGAAAGCUGAUUCAGCAGCUCAAGAUGCAGUGUGACUUUCAGUCACGCCUCAAAACUUGCUGCCCACAGUCUCCUUUCCACAGCCAGAUCUGCCUGACAAUCCCGCAUACUCAACAGAAGAAGAAAACUGGCCUCAGAUCUCAGAGCCAAUAAAAAUCAGGAAGGUUGGUGGAUUCUUCCUGACUCUAGAAUCUUCAUACCCCGAACUCUUGGGAAAACUUUAAUCAGUCACCUACAGUCUACCACCCAUUUAGGAGGAGCAAAGCUACCUCAGCUCCUCCGGAGCUGUUUUAAGAUCCCCCAUCUUCAAAGCCUAACAGAUCAAGCAGCUCUCCGGUGCACAACCUGCGCCCAGGUAAAUGCCAAAAAAGGUCCUAAACCCAGCCCAGGCCACCGUCUCCGAGAAAACUCACCAGGAGAAAAGUGGGAAAUUGACUUUACAGAAGUAAAAGCACACCGGGCUGGGUACAAAUACCUUCUAGUACUGGUAGACACCUUCUCUGGAUGGACUGAAGCAUUUGCUACCAAAAACGAAACUGUCAAUAUGGUAGUUAAGUUUUUACUCAAUGAAAUCAUCCCUCGACAUGGGCUGCCUGUUGCCAUAGGGUCUGAUAAUGGACUGGGCUUCACCUCGUCUAUAGUUUAGUCAGUCAGUAAGGCGUUAAACAUUCAAUGGAAGCUCCAUUGUUCCUAUCGACCCCAGAGCUCUGGGCAGGUAGAACGCAUGAACCGCACCCAAAAAACACUCUUACAAAAUUAAUCUUAGAAACUGGUGUAAAUUGUGUAAGUCUCCUUCCUUUAGCCCUACUUAGAGUAAGGUGCACCCCUUACUGGGCUGGGUUCUCACCUUUUGAAAUCAUGUAUGGGAGGGCGCCGCCUAUCUUGCCUAAGCUAAGAGAUGCCCAAUUGGCAAAAAUAUCACAAACUAAUUUAUUACAGUACCUACAGUCUCCCCAACAGGUACAAGAUAUCAUCCUGCCACUUGUUCGAGGAACCCAUCCGAAUCCAAUUCCUGACCAGACAGGGUCCUGCCAUUCGUUCCAGCCAGGAGACCUAGUGUUUGUUAAAAAGUUCAGAGAGAAGGACUCCCUCCUGCUUGGAAGAGACCUCACACCGUCAUCACGAUGCCAACGGCUCUGAAGGUGGAUGGCAUUCCUGCUUGGAUUCAUCACUCCCGCAUCAAAAAGGCCAACAGAGCCCAACUGGAAACAUGGGUCCCCAGGGCUGGGUCAGGCCCCUUAAAACUGCACCUAAGUUGGG